UACGAAGGGGGCUAGCGUUGCUCGGAAUUACUGGGCGUAAAGCGCACGUAGGCGGCUUUCUAAGUCGGGGGUGAAAUCCUGGAGCUCAACUCCAGAACUGCCUUCGAUACUGGAGAGCUCGAGUCCGGGAGAGGUGAGUGGAACUGCGAGUGUAGAGGUGAAAUGCGUAGAGAUCCGGAGGAACACCAAUGGCGAAGGCAGGGUCCUGGCUGGCACCUGACGCUCAUGUGCGAAAGCCAGGGGAGCGAACGGG
rnacentral:rRNA from 1 species